AGCAGCCGCGGUAAUUCCAGCUCCAAUAGCGUAUAUUAAAGUUGUUGCAGUUAAAAAGCUCGUAGUUGAAUUUCGGGAUCAAUAUUUCGGUCAUGCCGUUGGUAUGCACUGUUAUCAUUGAUUUCUCACCUUCUAAAGAACCGUAAUGCCAUUAAUUUGGUGUUACGGGGAAUUAGGACUGUUACCUUGAAAAAAUUAGAGUGUUUAAAGCAGGCUCACGCUUGAAUACAUUAGCAUGGAAUAAUGAAAUAGGACGUUUGAUUCUAUUUUGUUGGUUUCUAGGAUCGACGUAAUGAUUAAUAGGGAUAGUUGGGGGCAUUAGUAUUCAAUUGUCAGAGGUGAAAUUCUUGGAUUUAUUGAAGACUAACUACUGCGAAAGCAUCUGCCAAGGAUGUUUUCAUUAAUCAAGAACGAAAGUUAGGGGAUCGAAGACGAUCAGAUACCGUCGUAGUCUUAACCAUAAACUAUGCC
rnacentral:sRNA from 1 species